CAGCCGCCGCGGGAAUACGUAGGGUGCAAGCGUUAAUCGGAAUUACUGGGCGUAAAGCGUGCGCAGGCGGUUGUGUAAGACAGGUGUGAAAUCCCCGGGCUUAACCUGGGAACUGCGCUUGUGACUGCACAGCUAGAGUAUGGCAGAGGGGGGUGGAAUUCCACGUGUAGCAGUGAAAUGCGUAGGGAUGUGGAGGAACACCGAUGGCGAAGGCAGCCCCCUGGGCCAAUACUGACGCUCAUGCACGAAAGCGUGGGGAGCAAACAGGAUUAGAGACCCCAGUAGUCCCUGUCUCUUAUAC
rnacentral:rRNA from 1 species